rnacentral:tRNA from 1 species
GCGUCCUUAGCUCAGCGGUAGAGCAGUCCCCUUUUAAGGGAAAGGUCCUGAGUUCAAAUCUCAGAGGACGCA